rnacentral:lncRNA from 1 species
AUCUGGGUCUGUGUAACCCCUCUCCACUACUAGUCGGUGCCCUGAGAAGCGUAGAGCCACGCUUUCUAUAGCGAUCACGACUUUCUUUCAGCACCUCCAAAUGAUCUUUGCCAGAUUUACGGGCCGAAGUCAGGCUGACAACUGGGAAAACAGAGCCAUGGAGAAGGCCGGCAUUCCAGGGGCCAGCGGUGAUUUCCUAUCAGACGGUCCUCAGCAUGGAAUUAUUGAUAGCUGUGAUGCCGAAAGGGAGCCAGUUGGCUAAUGCCUGGAAGGGCUGAACCCCCGCUCACGGAUGAUCUGCUGCAAGAUAUCUUAAAUAGACUGAAGCCCUGACUCCGCAAGGAACUCAGACUGCCUUAGGAGGAGAGAAAACUUCAUGAGCCCGAGGCAGAGCUAUGGAAACAUAUGCAUACCCCAGCCCAGAGGUUGGACUAGAUGGCCUGGCUGUCGGAACACAAGGUUUCUGACAGCUGCCCUCCGUGGCUCCCUCAGGGAUAACAGAACAGUACUUUCUGGAAGCAGAUUCAUGAGGCAGAUCAGAGGAGUUCAGCUGUUGCUGUCUGUAAAAGAAUUUAUAAUUUGUACCUUGCUGCACCCAACUUGCUUUUGGGCAUCCUCACUUGGGUGCUUGAAGUUGGUAUGCCCUCUGUCCAGACAAGCAUCUUCUUGGGCUAUUAAUUAUGUAAUUAAAGGUCUGAACCUUCUCAUUUAAGAUGAUAAUAAAAUGUUUAAAGCUAUGCUGCUUAUAAACUUU